rnacentral:rRNA from 1 species
GUCUUCUUUUCCUGACGAGNGGCGAACGGGUGAGUAAUACAUCGGAACGUGCCCNAUCGUGGGGGAUAACGGAGCGAAAGCUUUGCUAAUACCGCAUACGAUCUACGGAUGAAAGCAGGGGACCGCAAGGCCUUGCGCGGACGGAGCGGCCGAUGGCAGAUUAGGUAGUUGGUGGGAUAAAAGCUUACCAAGCCGACGAUCUGUAGCUGGUCUGAGAGGACGACCAGCCACACUGGGACUGAGACACGGCCCAGACUCCUACGGGAGGCAGCAGUGGGGAAUUUUGGACAAUGGGCGAAAGCCUGAUCCAGCCAUGCCGCGUGCAGGAUGAAGGCCUUCGGGUUGUAAACUGCUUUUGUACGGAACGAAAAGACUCCUUCUAAUAAAGGGGGUCCAUGACGGUACCGUAAGAAUAACACCGGCUAACUACGUGCCAGCAGCCGCGGUAAUACGUAAGGUGCAACGUUAAUCGGAUUUACUGGGCGUAAGCGUGCGCAGGCGGUAUAUAAAAA